AGGAGGGGCUAAAGCGUAAAAAACUUGCCCCUGCCGGGUACAGACGGAUGCCGCCGGAGCUUACCCUAUGAUAUCUGUUUAAGUAAGUCGGAGACUUAUGAACGCUCUAUCCACUGUGUGAUAGCUUUGCGUCCCGUUUACUAGGUGAGGUGAAGGCUUACUCAGCCUGCGGGCUGUAACCGGCCUGAGAUGUUAAUGAUCGAUCCUGGGACGGCUGACUGACACACACUCCUCCUUCCUAAGGCAGCGUGGGGAAAAUUGUUUAAUGCACCAGCACGAUGAUCCUCCACUUCUGUGUGGGGCCUCAAGAUUUCUUAAUAUUGGUGCUUGUUUUGUGGACUGGAAAUAAGAUAGCCUCCGGAACAAUUGACGGCACGGUACCUACCAACUCCCGACCGGCUAACUAUGUCACACCCGCUAUCCCGAUUUGGUGGGGGCGAUAAUUGAACUUAAUGGCUGUAAGUCUGACGUGAGAAUACCGGGACACACUCAGGAUUGCCAUUCACCCUGCCUCACCUAAGUACUGUGUUCUAAGCGAAACUGCAAGAGUAUGUCUAAGAUGCAUAUAUACUUGUAUGAAUGAGUAUGGAGAAUCUACAUGAGUGGACAUAUACUGGCGCAGCUCUCUCCCGCGCGUGCUACGACUCUCACGGAUAAACGGGUGGAGAA
rnacentral:rRNA from 1 species